CCUACGGGAGGCAGCAGUGGGGAAUAUUGCACAAUGGGGGAAACCCUGAUGCAGCGACGCCGCGUGAGGGAAGAAGUAUUUCGGUAUGUAAACUUCUAUCAGCAGGGAAGAAGAUGACGGUACCUGGCUUAGAAGCCCCGGCUAACUACGUUCCAGCCGCCGCGGUAAUACGUAGGGGGCAAGCGUGAUCCGGAUUUACUGGGUGUAAAGGGAGCGGAGGCGGGUUAGCAAGUCAGAAGUGAAAGCCCGGGGCUCAACUCCGGGACUGCUUUUGAAACUGUUGAACGAGAUUGCAGGAGAGGUAAGUGGAAGUCCUAGUGUAGCGGUGAAAUGCGUAGAUAUUAGGAGGAACACGAGGGGCGAAGGCGGCUUACUGGACUGUAAAUGACGCUGAGGCUCGAAAGCGUGGGGAGCAAACAGGAUUAGAUACCCCGGUAGUC
rnacentral:rRNA from 1 species